CAUUCAGCCCCAGAGGACUUAGGGGUUGGGGGGUGGAUAAUGGAUUGACACCCCCCGAUGCCCCCGCCACCUGGCACUGCCAGCCGGAGAUGGCAGCGUCAAGUAGGAGAGAAUGGUCCCUUUGUUUCUAGGCUCACGGUGUUGGGGGAGCAAGCAUGGGCACACAGACGGGCCUUUCCCAGGCCCCGUUCCAGUUUGCAUGACUCCUGCUGGCCUCCAGAGACUCCUGGGGCCAUCCACUGGCCUCCAUCCCCUGGCAGAUGGUGCCCCCCUUGCCUUUUCUCCUAGCCUUCCUAUCUGUGUCUUCCUUCUGUGUCUUCACAAGUUCAAGCCCCGUGUUCCCGAGGCUGCCAUGCCACAUCUCUCAGCCUGCCUCCUGAGACUCCCCCCAGAUCCAGAACAUAGCGCCGGAUGUCUGCCUGGAAGGGAGACAGGAAGACCUCCACGCUCCUAAAGGGGUCAGCACGCUCACUCACCACUGGGAGCUGUCCGUGGUGCUGGAUGUCACUGGUCCACACGUCCACAGGGCAGAGAGAGGGCGGGAGGGUGGAGCACCCACCCGCCCAGCAGAGAAGCUGAAGGGAAGAAAAGCAGAAACAUUUGGAUACAGUAAGAGAAAACGCAACUUUAAAGGAAUUCUCCUGCUGCUGGAGGGGAGGAGAGCCUUGGAGUCAAUGAGUGCUGAACUUGCCACCCCUUCAUCCUAGAUCUUCAAGAGCCCCAGAUUGGCCCAGCUCUCCUCGGGAUCCUUUUGAAAAAUCCACAGGCACAAGCAAGGCUGAGUCAGUGCUUUUGCCCUUAGGGAAGAACAAGGCUGAGGCCAAAGACAGACCUUUAGAUUCCAUUCCAGAUGCUAAGGCCUCCGCAAGUAAUUUAGUAAUAAAGAUGAACAAGAGAUCGA